rnacentral:rRNA from 1 species
UACGUAGGGGGCAAGCGUUGUCCGGAAUCAUUGGGCGUAAAGAGCGUGUAGGCGGCUCGGUAAGUCCGCUCUGAAAGCCCGGGGCUCAACCCCGGGAGGCGGGCGGAUACUGUCGGGCUAGAGUCCGGAAGAGGCGAGUGGAAUUCCUGGUGUAGCGGUGAAAUGCGCAGAUAUCAGGAGGAACACCGGUGGCGAAGGCGGGUCUCUGGGCCGCAACUGACGCUGAGGAGCGAAAGCGUGGGGAGCGAACAGG